rnacentral:piRNA from 1 species
UGACUGGUUCUGUGUCUGUAAGAGC